GUGCUCGCUUCAGCAGCACUUAUAUUAAAAUUGGAACGAUACAGAGAAUAUUAGCAUGGAUGACUUGCAAAUUUGUGAAGCGUUCCAUAUUUUU
rnacentral:snRNA from 1 species